rnacentral:rRNA from 1 species
AUUGAACGCUGGCGGCAGGCCUAACACAUGCAAGUCGAACGGCAGCACAGAAGAGCUUGCUCUUUGGGUGGCGAGUGGCGGACGGGUGAGUAAUGUCUGGGAAACUGCCCGAUGGAGGGGGAUAACUACUGGAAACGGUAGCUAAUACCGCAUAACGUCGCGAGACCAAAGUGGGGGACCUUCGGGCCUCACACCAUCGGAUGUGCCCAGAUGGGAUUAGCUAGUAGGUGGGGUAAUGGCUCACCUAGGCGACGAUCCCUAGCUGGUCUGAGGGGAUGGCCAGCCAAGAUGGAACCGAGUCACGGUCCAGACGCCUACGGGAGGCAGCAGUGGGGAAUAUUGCGCAGUGGGCGCAAGCGUGAUGCAGCCAUGCCGCGUGUAUGAAGAAGGCCUUCGGGUUGUAAAGUACUUUCAGCGGGGAGGAAGGCGGUGAGGUUAAUAACCUUGCCGAUUGACGUUACCCGCAGAAGAAGCACCGGCUAACUCCGUGCCAGCAGCCGCGGUAA